ACAGGUUCCAACACAGUAAAUCAAAGGCUACAAUAACCUGGGCCAUUCACUAUGGUCACAAGCAGAUGAUACAGCUUUAAGCAGGUUCAGACUCCAGCCAAACACAGUUCUGUAUUGAAUAAGAUUCUGCAUCAAUGAGGAGAAGUGUCAUAGGAGGCCUCAUAAGACACCAGAUGACCAAUUACAGGAGAAUCAUCAGAAAGAGAACAAGAAAGACUGAGGUA